UAAGCCAAAACUCUUUCUCUUCCAGCCUUCCCAAGACUCAUUCAUCUCUCUCUUCUCUAUUUCUCCACCUCUGUACCAAGUUCCCCAUGGCUAAUCGAGAAAGGUGAACGAUGGGACACAAACCCUAACGCAAAAACACGAAACCGCACUGAUUCCAUCACCAACUUCGAAAGCGCAGCCGUUUCAAACCACCUCUGAAUCUGCUCCCGUGAGACUUCCCUUCGCCACUCGGAUGUCAUCACCGAAAUCUUCUGCACUCAUUUCCAUUACAGCCACCACCAUAAUCGUUUCCGGUCACUUAUCUGAUUUUUGUUUUAUUUUUAGAAAAUUUUGAAAUCGAUUUGUUCGUUUGUUAUGUAUUUGAAGAAGCAAGUGGCUUUGAAAUCGAUUGUUUCGGGCAAGGUAUAAUUGUUUGACAUCUGAUUGUAGUUAGUUGUUGAUAUUUUGUUUGGACUUUUGGUUCUUUGUGAUAACAUGUUGUGGUGCUUUAACGUGUGUGUGUGUUUGGAAUAUCAUAAUAGAGUGGAGGGAAAAAGACCGAAGCUUGCUGGUAUUACUAACCAGCUCUGGAAAUCGGGGAAGGGAAAAAGACAUGUUCUUGAUGGUAUCACUAGCAAUAAGAGAUUGAUAUGCAUGUUCUAUUCAUUUUGGUGGACCUCUUGGCUUAUAUUUUGUGACGGUGUUUGCAGCUUUCAACUAAUAUUCUAUGCAUGUUCUAUUCUUGAUGGUAUCACUAGCAACUGGUUUUCUUUUUUUUUUUUGGUUCAUGUUGAGUUUGGUUUUUGAUAUGAGCAUCAUUGUUUUGAGUUGUAUGGCUUUCUGUUUUGUAGUUUUGAAGAUGGUUUGCAGAGUUGGAAGGUAGAGUGGACUGUUGUGAUUUGGUUUAUUUGUAUUGAUUGAAAUUUUGAGCUGAUAGUGAACUGAUGCGGUUGUGAUAUUUGAAUGAAAAUGUAUAUGGUUUGGUAGGUUAGCUGAAUUGGUUUAUUUGUGAAGCUUUUUUCUUUGUACCUUUAGAACUGAGUUCACUGUUUGGAUUAUGAUGGGUCUGUUUUUUUGUGUGUGAAUGCAGGGUAGUACUUGAAUGGAUAUUGAUGUGAUUAAGUAGAGUCUGCUUGUGUAUGGCAGUGGGUUGAAUUUGAAUGAUUGUUGCAAGUUGAGUCAUUAUUUGCAGAGGCUUUAUAGAUUGAACAUGGCAAGACAUGGUGGUAAGAGUAUUCAAGAAGAAGAAGUGGAAAUGGCUUGAAAAAUAAAGAAAUGAAGAGAAAUGGUUUGAAGAUGGAACGAGAAUGGGACCAAGAUUUGGCUGUAAAAAUGUUUAGAAUAAUUUUUGUAUUUAAAUGGUGUAAUUGUCUUUGAAUUUUGUAAUUGAUUUUUGUAAUAAAUUGUAUGGACAUGUAUUGUAAUGGAUUUGGAUGAACACUUGAAUG